ACCCCUGCUCUUGAGCAACAUCUUGGAGAGACGAGGAAAACGCGAGGAAUGGCUCUGGGGACGUGCCUGAGCACAUGUUGGAGGGCAGGUGAACGAACACCCUGGGCUUAUGCAGACUAAGUAAGUCAUCUUUCAAAGACUCAGCACCUUCACUGUAUUUUCUGUGGCACUCAAGUGGUAUCAACUGAUAUAGACAAAGGUACGUACAUUGUCCUGCUGAUGUUGAAAGGAUCUCCAGUUCAAUCUGCUUUUUUUCAUCAUUCCAACUGAUUAUUUUUGCCUCCUUCACAAAGCAACAAGAAAAGAAUCAGGUAAGACACACUUCAGCACUGGAUAACAAUUCCAUAUUUACAACCAGUGCACUACUUGAUUGCUGCCAGAGGAAAUAAGUGUAUUUGGCUAUCACAUUUUCUAGUCUCCAUGUAUAAAAUCUGCAAAGAAUUAAUGUUCAGCAAUCUGUAACUACUGGCAUCAAUAAACCAAAGUUACUCAUUGUCACUAACUUUGCAGUUUAAAUCAGUACUUACCCAGAGACCAAGUUAUUUGAAGUAGCAACAAAAUUUUACUUGCAAAAGUUUUAAGAGUAACUUAACUUCAAAUAGCACUAGACUCAAAUACAGCUACAUUUUUCUA